CCUUGCCGCGCCGCGUUGCCGACCGACCGAGACCGACCCCUCCUGUCCUGCCUACCCGGUCUGGAUCCAGCCCCAACCCACCACCACCAGCUCCACUUCCCUUUGAUUUCCGCCGCCCGCCGAAGCCGCCUCGGGCAAGGACCCGGCCGGCGACAAAGCCUCUUCCCCGGCGGCCUGCCCGCGGCCAGGCGGGCCCUUUCCUCCCUCCCCACCGCCCUGGCCGUGGCCAGUCUGCUCCUCCUCUCUUCGUCCGGGGCCCCGGGUCGUGGAAGCCUCUCGCCUCGCCUCCUCGCGUCUGGUUUGGAUUCACUCCUCCUCGAUUCGUCGCGCGUUUAGGCUCGUGAUUUGGUUUCUGCUCGUGCUCGAUUCGUCCGUUUGGAAUUGCGCCCGGUUUGAUUUUGCUCGUCCUCGCCGUCGUCCGUUUGGGGUCGCGUCCGGUUCGAUUUUGCUCCUCCUCGCCACCGUCGUCCGUGUAGGGUCGCGUCCGGUUCGAUUCUGCUCGUCCUCACCGUCGUCCGUUUAGAUUCGUGUCUGGUUCGAUUUUGUUCGUCCUCGCUGUCGUCCGUUUGGGGUCGCGUCCGGUUCGAUUUUGCUCGUCCUCACCGCCGUCGUCCGUGUAGGGUCGCGUCCGAUUCGAUUUCGCUCGUCCUCGCCGUCGUCCGUGUAGAGUCGCGACUGAUUCGAUUUCGCUCAUCCUCGCCGUUGUCCCGACGCGCCCGCGUGUUCUUGGUCCGGUCUCGCCUCGUCGGCGGUCUCCUCCGUCUCGUUUGCGUAGUAGCAAUUCUGUCCGCGCGUGCUUCUGUUAUCCGAACUAGCAGUCCUGGGUUUCGUGUUCACGUCGGUUACAGGAAUGAACAGGUCUGGUUUCGAAAUUGGAUUACGGCCGGACACGGGGAGCAGUGUUUGUUUAUCGUGCUAGUUCAGACUGGUUCGUCCGUUCCGUCACCUACGUUGCUCUUGGUGAUUUUCAGAACUCAAAAUGUGUGCUCUCCUGUGAUACUCUGUCAAUUCUUGGCCCUCUGUCAGUUCUUGUUGGCCCUCUGUCAGUUCUUGAGUUCCAGGGUCUGUUAAUUCUUGAGUUCUCAUUGUACUGGCUAGGCGUGUGCGCUCUCAUCCUAGAUUCAGAGAUGGGGUGAUUCCUUUACGCUUGAUCUGAUGGUGUAUACUGUUUAUGUUCUUUCCAAUUUGUUUCUUUUUAUCAUGCUUAGCUAGUGUGUUCCGAGCAGAAAAGUUUUACAAGAGUGCAAACCAUGUGGCCUGCUGCUGCUACUGUUGGACAAGGUUCCUUCUUUUCUUCCCGAUGUUACUAUUUCCAUUGAAGUACUCAUACGAGUUCUAGGUGAGCUGCUGCUAAUUAGUUCCCCUUAGACUACAUUCUAGAUUGCAUGGCAUAACUCCAAUAUUUUGUCAUUGCACACUUGGGCAUAUAAUUCUGCUGUGAGCAUAACUCUAGAAUUUAUUUAUCUGCGAAAGCAUGUUCAUCACAUGUUUUUUAUCAAUGCUGGUAACUUGUGUCAUGCCCCUUUCCUUUUGGACAACAAUUUCAACGAACCUAUAACGUGGACAUGUGCUGCUUGUUUUCAUGUGAUGAUGGUGAUCCAAUUGAGUAGCCCAACUCUUAUGCUCUGACAUUUGUUAAUCCCCAGUUAGUGUGCAUGAAAAAUUAUUGUUUGUCAUGUUAAAUUCUAUGGCAUCAACUCGGUAUUGUGAUUAAUGACUUAGUAUUUGUUUAGAGUAGAUACUUGACUUCUUUUUCUUAAAUUUUUAGUGAUAUGUGUGUUUUGUUAUGUCUUAUGUGGAUAUCAUAUUCUUUCUUUGUAUUACUAUAGCCAGUCAAUGGAAAUGCUUUUCUUGCUUUGCCUAGACUUUGUGACAAUUAACUUAUAGUGCGAUCAUUGAUCAUUGAGCUUCUGACACCCUAUUCCGUAAAAUUCCGUUGUAAUGUUUGCUGGAUCAUCAAGUAGUUAAUAUUGAUUCUGAGUUUGUUGGAUCAUUAACUUCUGUGUGUGCUUUGGUUAUCUGAGAGACACUCACUAUCCUGUGUUUCAUAUUCGUGGCGGAGCGAUGAACGAUUAUGUUUCGUGUUUGCCGGUCUGGUUUUGGAUUUGGAUUACGGAGACGGGGAGAGGUCAAAACAAGGUCAGUUUAUCGUGUUCGCUCAGAUCGGUUCCUCGGUUCUGUCGCUGCGUUGUUCAUCGGCGAUUUCCAGACCUCAAACGCAUGCGCCCUUGUGAUACUCUGGUUUGGCUCGCUGGUCGUUAUGGUUGUUCGUUACGGUUGUUCUUAUGUUCUUGAAUCACCCAUCUUAUAAGCAGAGAUGGGGUGACACAUAAUGGUUGUUUUGAUGGUUGCUUAUUUAGUGCUCUUUCCAAUUGGGUUCUUCUUGUCAUGCUUUGCUUAUGUUCCCAAUGUCUGUCUUUCCAUAUAUGGGGAUGCGUUAGGGUGCAAACCGUGUAGGCCAUGGUGUGUUUUUAACUAGCUAUAUGGUGUGUUCUAUACUAUCUGAUGUGGAAGGUGGAAAUAUUGAUAUCACUUCUGUGUUUAUACUUGAUAUGGUGUGUUUUAUUCAAGUAAUUAACCACAUCUCUUACAAAUUUUCCUUGAGAUACAUGUUUAUAUGGCAGGAGUGAUUGUCUUGACGAAUAAUCAUUUAUGCUAACAGACCAGUACUUGAUCAUAGGUACAGACAUGUGGAUCUGGACAUUUCACAUUUGCUCUUUAUUGUGUUGCUAAGGACACUGAACGGUUUGUCUAGGCCACCGCAUAGCCUGGCUAAUCAGGUUGUAGUGAUUAGGGAGAAGCUUGCAGAACCGUAUGAAUUUGAACAACAAUGGUCGAGAGCAGUACAAAUGCUUAGUGGCAUUGACUUGGACUCAGGAAUAAGGAUGCUUGAUGACAAACAAAUUAUCCAAGUGCGUCCAGAUUGCAUGACUAUUUGGAGGAUGAUGAUGCAGUGAAUGUUGAAGCUUUUAUCAACAAAGCCUCAUUUUUUGUCACAAACAGCAACCAGGAAGUUCUGAACUUGUAAUACAAGGUAUGCUAUGCGAGAAUUUUAGAUCUAAAGAAUAAAUUCUUGGAAGCUGCACUUCGAUACUAUGGUAUCUCUCAAAUUGAGCAACGCCAAAUUGGGGAUGAGUAAGGCUUACUCUAUUCAGUUGUAGAUUUGUUUCUCUCUUCUGCAAUUUACUCAUUUUUAAUGUUCUGUCUUGUAUGGUUCUUUGUUGCCUUGCCGGUCUAGUGAUGCCUAAUUUCUAUUUUACACCCUUCAAAUUACCCUACUUGAUACUCAUGUUUAAGUAUUGCAGUGGUUAUUAGCAAGUUGUGUUUGGAACUGAUAUGGCCUCCAUAUUUUAUUCUCAAAGAUCUUGAUGGAACAUAGUUUCUGUAUUUUCUCUGAUAGAUUGACGAAAAUGCUCUUUAACAAGCUCUUAGUGCUGCUGUAACAUGCACAAUAUUGUAACUGAUGAGAGGCAACCACCGUUGCCAACUUGAAAUCAGUUUACUCAUUCAAGUUCUGGAAUUUCUUUAUAGAUUUCUGGGUUUACUUCGAUCUUGCAUGUAUUAGGUUUCCCUUUGUGCCCCUGUCUAUGUCGGUUUCUUGUGUGCAAGUGCUUCAUUAUGUGUGUGUGUGUGACUGUGUGUGACUUGUUGGUGAAUAUGUGUGUGGCUUGACUCUGUGUGUGUGGCUUGAUGGUGUGUGUGUGGCUUGAUUGUGUGUGUGGCUUGACUCUCUCUGUGUGUGGCUUGACUAUGUGUGUGACUUGACUCUGUGUGUGUGGCUUGACUCUCUCUAUGUGUGGCUUGACUGUGUGUGUGACUGUGUGGUUUGAUUGUGAAUAUGUGUGUGGCUUGACUCUGUGUGUGAGUGUGUGUGGCUUGAUGGUGAAUAUGUGUCUGGCUUGACUGUGUGUGUGUGUGUGUGACUGUGAAAAUUGCAUUUGUUUGAUUGUGUGGCUUGUAUGCUUUGCUGAAUGUUUGGUUGUAUAACUUGUGUUCUAUAUUUCACGAUUGAUUGCUUUGUUGAUUGUUGAAUGUGAACAGACCUAGCACUAUUCUUUUUUCUGAACUUUUUUGUGAUUAUGUCUUAUGUGGAUAUCAUAUUCUUUUUUAUGUAUUACUAUUGUCCAGUCACUGGAAUAAUGCUUUUCUAAGUAUUUAAGGUACAUACAUUGGAUCUGGACAUUUCACAUUGGCUCUUUAUUGUGUUGCUAAGGACACUGAUGGGUUGAGUUUGCAUAAAACGCAGUAUGGAGCAAGAAUUUGGUCUCAUUGCAAGGUCACUACCUGGACAUAUAGCCAAGCAAUGUCAAGAGAGGUGGAAUAAUCAUAUGAAUCCAAACAUACAGAGAGAUGCUUGGACUAUGAGGAGGAACAUGCACUGUAUAAUGCCCAGGGAAUAAAUGGGCAAAAAUAGCAAAAUUUCUUCCUAGAAGGAAUGGGGUACUUCUAUUUGUGUAACUUCUAUUUGUUAUCAGUUCUUCUCACCUAUAGCUAAAGUCAAAGACGACAAACCAGGUGAAUUUUUGGAGGUGCAAGAUACACAGAAUCGGCUAUCCAUCGGCUUGUAACUCAUGAGAGGCAACCACAGUUGCCAACUUGAAACAUAUAUAUUUUAGGAACGAAGAUCUGAAUCACCCUCACCCCUCAGAGAAAUCGUUUAGUCAUUCAGGUUCUGGAAUUUAUUUAUAGCUUUCUGAGUUUACUUCGGGCUUGCAUGUAUUUGCUUUCUGUUUGUGCCCCUAUCUAUGUCUGUUUCUUGUUGUUUCUUAUGUGCAAGUGCUCCAUUAUGUGUCUGUCUGACUGUUUGUGGCUUGACUCUCUUGUGUGUGUGGCUUGACUGUCUGUGUGUGGGACUGUGUGUUUGACUGUGUGUGAAUAUUGCAUUUGACUGUGAUGUGUGACUGUGUGUGUGACUCUGUGUUUGACUGUGUGUGACUGUGUGAAUAUUGUGCAUUUGACUGUGAUGUGUGUGACUGAAUAUUGCAUUUUGGCAAUGACUGAGUGUGAUUGUGUGUGGCUUGACUCUCUCUGUGUGUGUGUGGCUUGUAUGCUUUGCUGAAUGAUUGGUUGGUGUGGCCUAACACUGCCUUUGC